rnacentral:rRNA from 1 species
CUUUUGAUUAUAAUUUAAGGUCUAACCUGCCCAAUGAAUGAAAAUUUAAAUGGCCGCGGUAUUUUGACCGUGCAAAGGUAGCAUAAUCAUUAGUUUUUUAAUUGAAAGCUGGUAUGAAAGGUUGAAUGAGAAAAUAGCUGUCUCUAUUUAAAUUUUUUAGAAAUUUAUUUUUAAGUUAAAAAGCUUAAAUUAAUUUAGAAGACGAGAAGACCCUAUAGAGUUUUAUUCGUAUUUUAUUUUUAAAUUUUUAGUAUUAAUAUUUUUUUAGUAAAAAUGAAUUUGAUUGGGGUGAUUGAAAAAUUUAUUUAACUUUUUUUGUAUUUGUACAUUGAUUUAUGAUUAUUUGAUCCUUUUAUUAAGAUUAAAAGAUAAAAUUACCUUAGGGAUAACAGCGUAAUUUUUCUAGAGAGUUCUUAUCGAAAGAAAAGUUUGCGACCUCGAUGUUGGAUUAAAAUAAAAUUUUGGUGUAGAAGCUGAA